GAUGAACGCUGGCGGCGUGCCUAAUACAUGCAAGUCGAGCGAACAGACGAGGAGCUUGCUCCUUUGACGUUAGCGGCGGACGGGUGAGUAACACGUGGAUAACCUACCUAUAAGACUGGGAUAACUUCGGGAAACCGGAGCUAAUACCGGAUAAUAUAUUGAACCGCAUGGUUCAAUAGUGAAAGACGGCUUUGCUGUCACUUAUAGAUGGAUCCGCGCCGCAUUAGCUAGUUGGUAAGGUAACGGCUUACCAAGGCAACGAUGCGUAGCCGACCUGAGAGGGUGGUCGGCCACACUGGAACUGAGACACGGUCCAGACUCCUACGGGAGGCAGCAGUAGGGAAUCUUCCGGAAUGGGGGAAAGCCUUACGGAGCAACGCCGCGGGAGUGAUGAAGGUCUUCGGAUCGUAAAACUCUGUUAUUAGGGAAAAACAAAUGUGUAAGUAACUAUUCACGUCUUGACGGUACCUAAUCAGAAAGCCACGGCUAACUACGUG
rnacentral:rRNA from 1 species